GAUGAACGCUGGCGGCGUGCCUAAUACAUGCAAGUCGAGCGAACGGACGAGAAGCUUGCUUCUCUGAUGUUAGCGGCGGACGGGUGAGUAACACGUGGAUAACCUACCUAUAAGACUGGGAUAACUUCGGGAAACCGGAGCUAAUACCGGAUAAUAUUUUGAACCGCAUGGUUCAAAAGUGAAAGACGGUCUUGCUGUCACUUAUAGAUGGAUCCGCGCUGCAUUAGCUAGUUGGUAAGGUAACGGCUUACCAAGGCAACGAUGCAUAGCCGACCUGAGAGGGUGAUCGGCCACACUGGAACUGAGACACGGUCCAGACUCCUACGGGAGGCAGCAGUAGGGAAUCUUCCGCAAUGGGCGAAAGCCUGACGGAGCAACGCCGCGUGAGUGAUGAAGGUCUUCGGAUCGUAAAACUCUGUUAUUAGGGGAGAACAUAUGUGUAAGUAACUGUGCACAUCUUGACGGGACCUAAUCAGAAAGCCACGGCUAACUACGU
rnacentral:rRNA from 1 species